GCCUUCAUGGUGUAGUGGUCAGCCCGCUCGACACGCAACUGAGAGGUCCGUGGUUCGAUUCUCGGCGAAGGCG
rnacentral:tRNA from 1 species